CAAAAGAGAAAGGGGUCAGGUAGAAGGGCUGAAGGGACGCAUGAAGAAGUCUAAAAGAGCAGAAGUCAACUUUUUACCUGAUCAUCCAGCAGGCCAGUCAGAUGAGUCUCUUGAGAAAGAAAGAGUCUCCAUUGUUGAAGAAACUCGGAAAAAGAGAAUAGAUGCAACACUUGUUCGUCAGAAGAUGGAAGCAACAUUCUCACUGCGGCGCAAGGAGGUCGUAGAGGUUGAACCACUUGUUGAAGAGAUCAGGGAAAGGUGGCCUGCACUUUUUUAUGAGGAUGAGGUAAGUGAUCAUAUAAUUUAAUUGUGGUAUUUAAAGAUUUUAUCUAAUGAUCCAUUGUAGUAAUUUAAACUUACCAGGUAGUUUUCUGUGUUUCUUUGUUUAUUUGUUUGUGUAAGCAGAUCUGCAGAGAGUUCUUUCGAAUCACAAACAUCCAUCUACUGAGCACAUUUAAAGAAUCGCUAGACAAAUAUACAGCACCCCUCCUGAAGCUGUACCGAAGGCGAAGAGAGGCAUUUGGGCAGGAAAUGAAGAUUCUUUUGGAGAAUUUGGAUGAACAGGUGAAUAAUAUUGUUGCCAGUCAACAAAGAACAGCUCUUGAGGGAUUGCCACUUUUUCUGCGGGAAAAUCCAUCCAGUUUACUGAAGAAAUGUCUGGUAAGUACCUUUCCCUAUGCAGGUCUGCUUAGUGCUUUCUGUGCCUUUUAUGUAUUUUAUUUUAUUAUUUUUUAAAUUAUUUAUUUCAGGACACAGAUGCUGAGGACAACUACACCAAAGAUGUAAAGAUUGGAAUUGUUUCUCUGCUGAAAGAUGAUGUGGCUGCUGCAGCGUCCCUGCCAGAUGUCACAAACAUUGCAAUAAUACUGGAAGAGGCUGUUGUUCUCCGGGAUAUUGCUGAUCUGCCAACAGCAUUUGCGUAUUUGUUUGGUCUUCUGUACUCCAUUAAUAUGGAAUAUCCCAAAGAACUCAAGUACACCUUUGAGGCGAUGCAGAAGAUUUUCAUGGAUCUUGGUGGUUCUUGCUCUCCAAGAGUGCAGUCGCUGAAGAUUAAACUUUGCUAGGUGGACAGACUUUACAUACUAAAUCUUCCACUCCACCCUUUGUCACUGAACUCUAUUUUUUGGCCAUCCCAAAUGGUUUUGCAUUACACAGCUCUAAUGUUUUAAUAACUAACUAGAGUAGUUCAGCUUGCAGGUUUGCAAAGCAUUAUAGUUGUGUUUACGUUAUGUUGUGACUGUCGCAGUUUAAGAAGCCUCCAACAGUUUAUUAAUGUUAGUGUUCUAACUGGCAACACUUUAAGAACUGUUUUGUUGACUGACAAUAUGAAAGUUGAAAGUUUUUGGGACACGAAUGCUGAGGACAGCUACAAGAUACACAUGUUGGAAUACUUCAUGUAUGGUUUGCAACAUCCCAGGUUAGUUGACACAAACAUUGCAACAAUCCUGGAAGAGCUCAGGCACACCUUUUUGGAUAUCUUUUUAGGGGAGUGCAGUCCCUAAAGAUUACAGUUUGCUAUGUGGACAGACUUUACAUGCUUAUCCCUCCCCGCCACCCUUUGUCACUGGACCUCUCUGUUUUCUGAAUGCUACAAGUUGUUUUACAUUGCACAAGACUAAAUUACACAGCUCUUAUUGUUUCAGUAAUGAAAGUUCAAAAUCUGAGUAGUUUUAUUAAUGGCUUUUUGUGUUUUUUUUUGUUUGUUUGUUUGUUUUUAUUACCAAUAGUGUACAUGUAAGUUUUUCUGUCAAAAAGCUGUCACUGUGAUCUGCGUAUUGCUUUUUUUGCUUGUUUGUAUUGGAGCCAAGUUGCUACCCUGUGAUGGUAGUGAGUUGGUGGCUGGCUUUUCAUGUAUUUGAAGAGGCAUGCUAGUCUUUACGCUCCUGUUGCUAGUUAUGGGGGGAGUUCAUAUAAGAGGGAUUAGAUAAUCUGCCUUCUAGAUUGGGAGAAAAGUGGUAAAAAAAAUUGGAUAUAAAUGUAGAUAUGUGUUUUACCAAGCAGAUUGAAUUUUAUAACAGUUGGUAUGUGAAGAGUUGUAAAAUGCACUGCCUGUUACAUUGUGACAGCUUUUUGUACAGUUAUUAAAGUUUUUAUGUUUUUGUACUGCCUUAAUAGAAUAGUAUGGUGAAUUAUAAAAUCCAGUUCACACAUUUUCCGCAGUGCUGCAAAACCAAAAUAGCAUAAUUCAACCUGGGAAAAUAUAUGUUAGAAAUCUGCUUAACAAUCUACUUUAAAGCAGUAAAAAAAAUUAGGAGCAAACUUCAUUGUUCGUGUAACACGACACGCAGUGUAAACGGUUUGCUGUUGGUUUAAAUAAUUUGUCAGUUGGCUUUUAAAUAUGAUUUUUGUCAUAUUUUAUAUUUGUGUGGAUUGAAGUAUUUUUUCACCAAUCUAUUCAAAGGCUUGGAAUAAUUGAAAAUGAUUGUUUUAUGUUUUAUGAAGUUUAUGAUUUUACAGUGAAUAUUCUAAAGGGCAUCUGAUUACAUUAUGCCUUAAUUUUAAGGAGCAGAUCAGUCCAAAGCUCAGUUGGUUGUUCAAUCACUGAAAAGAAUGCUCUUAUGCUUUAAUAAAUAUUUUCUUAAUGUUUCA